rnacentral:rRNA from 1 species
UUAAAGGAAUUGACGGGGCCCGCACAAGCGGUGGAGCAUGUGGUUAAUUCGAUGCAACGCGAAGAACCUUACCUAGACUUGACAUCCCGGGAAUUCUUAGGAAACUAAGAAGUGCCUUUCGGGGAGCCCGGUGACAGGUGCUGCAUGGCUGUCGUCAGCUCGUGUCGUGAGAUGUUGGGUUAAGUCCCGCAACGAGCGCAACCCUUGUCAUUAGUUGCUACAUUCAGUUGGGCACUCUAAUGAGACUGCCGGUGACAAGCCGGAGGAAGGUGGGGAUGACGUCAAGUCCUCAUGGCCCUUAUAGGUGGGGCUACACACGUCAUACAAUGGCUGGUACAAAGGGUUGCCAACCCGCGAGGGGGAGCCAAUCCCAUAAAGCCAGUCGUAGUCCGGAUCGUAGUCUGCAACUCGACUACGUGAAGUCGGAAUCGCUAGUAAUCGUGGAUCAGAAUGUCACGGUGAAUACGUUCCCGGGUCUU